GUGCUUGCUACGGCUGCACAUAUACUAAAAUUGGAUCGAUACAGAGAAGAUUAGCAUGGCCCCUGCGAAAGGAUGACACGUGAAGCGUUCCAUACUUUGUUCUUUUUA
ensembl:snRNA U6 U6 spliceosomal RNA